GAAAAGAUAUGUUGGCUUGUUUUGUCUUUGUUGUUUGUUGUUGUUGUUUUUAAUAAACACUGAACAUUUCUAGGUGAAACUAUUUAACUCAAGGAGAUGAAGCUUUAAGAACCACCAUCAAGGACUGCAAAGGUCUCAUGAUAAGGCAGCAAAUGUAUGGCUUAGCUGUGGCCUGGACAGACUUCCUCCACUGCUCCUGUUGUACUCAGGCUCUCAAAACUCCGCAUUUGUUGCCAUAGCGAGAGGACUCAGCUCAGACAGCAAAGACUCGCUUUUUUUUUGACAGAAGUCCAAAUUAAAAAUAAGGAGAGUCCUCCUUUGACUUCAGUGUUUGUCUCUUACCCAGGGAAAAUUCAUGCUCUUGGAAAGAAAAGUGCUCUAGAUGGCAUGCCCUGGGGAGCUGCUUUCAGGACUGGAGCCACUGAGACAUGGCAAAGAAAGAAGGAAUGCAGAGGGAAGAUGUAGAAAUGUGGAAAGCAUGGUUAGUGUGUUUACUGGCUGAGAAGAGUAAGCGGUGUGGGAAGGAAGAGAAGCAACCUUGUAGUAUUGCCCACAAUGUGUGAAGCAGAUUUCAAACCAGAAAAAACGUUCAAAUAUUUUUUGGAGGGAAAGACUAACAUGUGGGUACAGGAGACAUCUAUCAUGCUGUGUGGUCAGUUGGAAUUUUGCCAAUGACUCCAAUGAGAAUGAUUUGGCAGGAAAGGGAAUGGGAAAUACUGGUGAAGAAGUGAAUCAGCUUUACAUUCGUUGAAGAAAAUGCAGCUGCAUUAGCAACUGUCCCAUUAAAAGGUGCCCAGGGAAACCAAGAUUCAUUACUUCUAUCUUCUAGGCAUUAACUAAGCAUUUUUACUCUACCUACUGAUUAGAAUAUUUAAUUGAACUAAGACCCAUUUUUUUUUUCCCUCCUGUAUGCAAUGUAAUCAACUCAAGCAAGAGUUAAGCUUAAAAGAAAUGAGACGAGUGAAGAUCUACUGCAUAGAAGUAGGAGAAAGUAUCGACCCUCAGCCAUCUCACUCCUUCACAACUUUGCCACUGUGAAAGCAGAGGACUUACAAAUCCAGAGAGUGGGACAUUAAAUUCAAUCUACAAAUUUGGAGCCCCCUUCUGAAAUUAUAAUCCCGUGUGGUAAAAAAUUAAUGUGAUUAAUGAUAAAGGAAGCAGGAAUAGGCUGAUUUUGUGGACUAGCAAAAGAGCAGAACACGCUCUGGAGGUUACCCUGGCAAGUACCAGCUCUCUAAUGCCAACCUAAUGCCAGUCACUUGAAAAAGUUUGUCUUGAUUAUCACAGCUGAAAGCAAGACGUAUCAGAACAUCAGAUACCAUGUUAGAUUUGAGCUGUCUGGAUCAACAUAUCUCCCAUAGCUGACAGAAAGUUUUCUUUAUGAAAUUGAAGCAUAUUCCCUGACUUUACUAAUCAGCUAAGUUUCCAUAUGUGGUGUGAUUUUUUUCAUUAACCAGAUUUGUUC
rnacentral:lncRNA from 1 species